GCAUUGUGAGUUGCAGGAUUCCGUGAGCCAACAAGGAAUUGAAUGCGCACAGUACUUUCGGGAUAGCCUUGCAAGUGUGCCUGCGUUGGCGUCUAC
rnacentral:rRNA from 1 species